CAUGGGCUUUGACCUUUUCUGCGACAGAAGAGCCUGGAAAUGUUUGAAAAAAGAUCUCAGAUCAAUCAGGUGGCCCGUGUCUUUUUCCUACAUGUAUUCUCCAGAUUCUUUCUCUUUUUACCUGCUUGUUUGCGCGAAUGAUCACCUUGUCCUUCUCAACUCUGACCUGAAGCAAACAGACAUGAGCGAUGUGUACACUUUUUUAUGGUGCUCAGAGACAUGAUAAGGCAGGGAAUGUGUUAAGAGACAGCACCAGCGUGGAAGGUCACCUGGAAGAUAGGCAGGCUGUCCAGCCCGGGGAAGUCCUCCAGGUCUCCUGUUGCAAUGUUGAAACACGCACCGUGCCACGGACAGCGCACGUGUCCUUUUGACAACACACCUGGAAGGACAGAAAAUAUUAGAUCUUUAACAUGACAUACGGAGGCCUCCACAUAGUCCCGUGGUUUGUGGUAGAGGGGGAGCGGGGUGGAGUCAUCAUCAGAGCCGUGUCCCAGGGCCCCGUUAGGUCUGCAGUCAGCAAAGGGACUCGCUUUGCCAUUAGGUGAUCCAGAGACGUAUGGAGGGUAAGGCUUAUGGCAUCCUCUGUUGAUCUGUUUCCCCCUUCUGGAUCAAAGACUAGAGAUCAGGAUGCUCUUCCUGGACUUCAGUUCGGGCUUCAACACCUUCAUUCCCAACAGACUCGUGUCCAAACUCCAGAGUCUGGGCUUGAAAACAACCAUUUGCUACUGAACUCUGGAUCUUUAGGACCAACUGCCCCCAAACGGUUAGGAAAGCAUACAUCCUCCACCCUCACCAAGAACACUGGUGUUCCACAGGGAUAUAUGCUGAGCCCUCCCCUGUUUGCUCUCCUAACCCAUGACAGUGUACCUGUCCACGCAACAACUACCAUCAUCAGAAUUUGCAGACAACACGACAUGUCAUGGGCCUGAUCUCUAACAGCGAUGAGUCCGCACACAGGGACGAGGUGCAGCCUGACAGCCUGGUGAAUUCUAAGGAGAUUGUGGUGGACUUCAGGAAGUCAAGGAGAACGACUCUCAGCCCAGUGUUCAUCGGCUGUGGAGAGACGGCACAACAACGAAAGCUGAGGAGAUCCACCUUUUCAAACUACUUCUCUCUGACAGGCAAUACAGGAUGAUACACAAACGCACCACAAGACUGAAGAACAGUUUCUUCACCAUUGUUGUCAAAUUGUUGAACAUGGCUUGACCCCUGCAACACUCACUGGUUUACACCUUGUGCUGCUGCUAGAUUAUAUACGUGCCAUUGUAAUUUAGUUGUAUACGUGUCCUGAACAGCAGUAAACUGAUAAUGAAGUAUCUUAUCUUUAUUUACGUAAUAUUGGCAGACUAUCACCAGUGCAUUGCACUAAUAUUCCUGUAUACCUGCCCUUUAUUAUUUUAUCUAUAUUCUUAACUAUUACUUUGGAAUUUGCCUUUCAGAUAGGAGAGACGUCAACAACCUUGUCUUCUUUUCUUUUCCUUUCUAACAUGUAGCGAGGGUAAUUAAAGGUAUCAUUCAAUUGUUGUUCUUUUGCAGAGAAAUGCUAUUCAUACAAGAUUUAGCAGAGGUAUGUUGUGGAAAAUCUACAAAAGAUGAGACGGAUAACCCUUUGCCACUAAUUUCUAACAACAAAUUGUUCACCUCUAAAUCUGUCUAUAUCUAAAUUAACUUACUAAGCUACAAAAUAUAGAUUUUCACAGGAUAACAAGGCCAUAAAUAAUGAUAUUUCCAUAAGGAAACUGAUAUAAACAACCCAGCUUUUUGUAUAUUUCUUUAAGAAAACAGACUAUAACAAAGCGGAGUAAAUUAAUUGGGGGAUAUUCACUUUUCUUUGAAGACAUCUGAUGCGCUGCUGUUUGGUUUAUAUUUCUGAACAUUAAAAAACGGUUGUGUAACCCCCUUUUCACUGCAGCAGGCUUUAUCUGUUUGGCUGGAAAAAUGUGCUGAUCAUCCGGUUCUUACACAGUAAUCUGGCUGGAAUUUUCUCCUGCUGAGCAAGUCUUAAUUAAAAUCAAUGGAAAAUUGUAAUAGUCAGUGCAAUUGCAGGAGAAAAGAAAGAGAAAGCUUUCCACAGCUGAAGAGUAUCUCUAGAUGCUGCUGGAUCUGCUGCUAAACGAGACAUCACCACACAGAUGCGUCAUUUGAUCAAUACUGAAAAGUUACCUGGUGUGCUAAAACAUUUUCUGUAAUGCUUUUAUUCUGAUUGUUUCAGUGUUUAGAGCUUCAAGACAUUUUGAUUCUGUAUGUACUGUAUGAUUUCACAGUAUUUCCUAAACUUUCUGUAUUUCUUCACAUUGUUUUCUGU